UCUUUUGUCCACGGUGGCACAGGCAAUCAAAACUAUCUGAUGCUGAGAUUCCAUUGUAAACAUUUUGCCUGGCAUAAAGAGAUGACAUAGACAAAGGAAUUGACUAAUAAGCAAUUGUGUUCAGGGUCUAAUACUUGAGAAUCUUCAUUUGUGUCUGUUGCUAUAGGAGGGAUACUUACAUUAAGCUCCUUCUAGCUGUUAUAAGGUAGUAUGUUCAUUAAAGUUUACUUUUAAAUAUAAUUGGCACAAUUACAAAAUGAGAUUUAUGAUUUCAGGCAGGGAAUUUCUAAAUUGGUAACAUAGACUGUGUUCUAAUUUUAAAUAGCACAGGAACAUAUAUAAAAGUUAUUCUUCUGCAUCAUGUGGGUAGACUCAGUUUACCCAAAAAAACCUAUGUGCAUCAUUAUAUUCACGUCUGUUUCUAGUUCAGUUAUGGCAAGGAUCUACAUAGGUAUAUCUUACACCAGAGUGCUCUAAAUCCCUUGCAAUAUUCUUAAUGAUCAGACUAUCUAAAAGAUGGGACAUGACAAAGAAUAAGUGCUUGUUGGAUCUUAUCUCUGAGGUUGUCUUGGGCUAUGCUUAAGACAUUCUCUCUUGUGGACAUUGCAAUUAAGCACAUUUGGUAAAUAACUUGUUUAAUAUGCAAGUUAAUGAGAUAUGAAAUUUUCACAUCUCUCCAGAUUGUGCCUCACUAAAUCCAUCACCUGGAUGAAGGUUUAGUUCAAAGAACAACAACUAUGGUUGAUCAAUCCAAACAGUUAUUUCUCAAUACAUACUUUCUGUGAGAUUAGAUGUUUUCUUUUUGAAAUGGAAACAAUACAAAUGACAUAAAACGUUAAGUGAGAUAUUUUGGGUCCAUACAUGUUCAUGAGAUGUCUUACUUUCUUCUGGCUAAUUGAACAGUAAUGCCAGUUAAAUGAUGGCAGUUUUUAACUUACUUGUCCAUGCAUCACUGAAAAUAACUGUUGAGAAUGUUCAUCCUUUUGGUAAUACAAACACUAGAUUUUCAUGAACUUUUCUUAUCUAGAAAACAUAAUUGAAUCUUUUCAUCAUGUUUCUACUUGCAGCUGAACUUAUGACAAAUUAACUCACAAAACAACUUGAGUUACCAUUUCUGGCACUAUCAUAAGCUCAGCCAAUGCUGAGCUACUGACUUUGUGAACUAGCUGUGUGAUUGGUUUCAAACACUGCAGCCAAACAUAGUUCUUGAGGUCUAAGACAAAAGUCCAUUUUAUCAAUAUUCAGGUAGGAUAUGGACCAUGUACUUAGCAUUAACGAUGGGAUAUCGGUGACUUUUAUAAGAAAGUUAGCUUCAACCAGAUGCUGACAGACUGAAUUCACACCAAAAAUGUCAACACUACAAUGAACUAGAUUAAUGGAGCCAUUUGGAGGGGAAGGAGUACAUAAUUGACCAGAGCUUCAUUCAACAAUUCAAACUUACAAGGAGAACAGUGGAUAAAGUGCUCUACUUAGUUGAAGUUUCACUAAUUUCCUGAGUAUGGGACAGAGAAUAAAUGUGUUUUAAAACACAUACUACCAAAUGGGUUAUCCACUAAGUUAUUAUCUUUCAAUGACUAUGCACUUAGUCUUUCUAUACUGUUUCAGGUUAUAGACCAUGAAACAUAGUACAGCAAUAGAUUCUACUUCAUGUUAUUCUGGCACAGUAAGUAACAUUCAAAAAAUGCAUUAUAUGUAUUAGGUCUGUAUCUCCAGGUUUCAAAGAACCAUCAAAACAAACAGCUCAGCACUUCACAGAGUUACUCUGUAGCUAGAUAAAGUGUCUUAAUACGGGUUUGUUUGAAAGCAUUCUUUGAAAUUAUGUUUUUGGAGAUUACAUUAAUCUUAUCUCUACCAACUUUUAAAUAUCAUCAUCUAUUUUCUUUGUGAAACAAAUUGACAAAAUAUAACAAAUGUUAUUGUAAAUUUGGGUGUGAGUUAGAGAAAAAAAUAUGAUGUAAUAGUUAACAAUAGUUGUUAAGAUUUGUCUAAAAUUUGAAUAACUAGUCUAAUUUGAAAAAAUUAUCUAAACUGUUUUCUGUUAUAUUUUUACAUUAGUAAACUACUUCUGACUCU
rnacentral:lncRNA from 1 species